rnacentral:lncRNA from 1 species
GAGAGUUCAUGGAAGUCUACACCAAGAACUGAACUAUCAAGUUGGUGUAAGUUUCCAAUUAAUGGAAGGCCUUUAGGUCCUGGUGGAAGAUUUGGUUUCUUAGAUGUUUUGUGUUUUUUGAAGAAGAAGAAUAGCAAGAGAGCAAAAGCUAGAAGAGCAAGUGGUAACAUGUUUUGGUUUAUGAAUUAGGGACAACUAUCUAGCUAUUGUAAUCUCAUGUGGUUCUGUGUUUGUGUCUAAAUAUGCAUGUGUAUAUAUUGGAAAUGCUAAGGGAGAGUUGAGAGGGAUAUAUUUGAAUAAUGUUAUAUCACUCUAUAAAAUGUUUGUACCAAAGUUAAUAUCUAUCUCAGAAGCAAACAAACACCAUAAUAUAAUAAAAUGAAAAAUUAAACAAGACGCAUCAAGACGGCGGUGAAUAAAAUAACAUUAUGUUUAGAUAACAAAUUACUUGUAAAACAUAAACAAAAAAAACUAAAUCCAUAUAGAAAUCAAUUAUAAGUAAGAUCUAUCUACUUUCAUACUUAAAAAUAUUUUAAAAAGUAUGAUAGUUAAAGACAUUCAAUUUUUUUGAUUUCACAUAAAAAAAAUACAAUUACUAACUUAUCUUUAAUUAUUUUUUCUACUGAUACUUGUCCUUAAUUAUAAUUGUCAUCUUUCACAAUAUUAAAAAAUUAAUGCAAUGAUAUUUAUGGAACAAUUUUAUUAUAUAAGUUUAAAUGUACGUUUGAUCCUUCAAAUUUUUCAACGGUGCAAUUUUAAUUCUUACUUUUUCUUCUUUGUAUUUCUUAGUUCCUAUUCUAAUUUUAACCAAAAUUUACUGAUGUAUAUUUUCAGAGUUUUCUACCAAACAUCUCCACAAUUGUACCUGCCCCCUCAAAAUACAUAAAAAGACAAUUUUACCUCACACAAGGCCCACAACUCACAUCAUAUAAUGAUAAUGAUGACUUUGCAACAUCUUCUAGAAAGACAUAAACACAAUAAUAGAGGUAACUAAUUUCCAAAGGCUGCUCAAUAUUCACCUCCACUAGGAGGAAAACAAUGUCCGCUUCAAUUUUUGGCUAAAUUACAUAUGUAGUCCUUUAAUUUAACUUUAGGUAACGUUUUAGUCCUUUAUCUUUUUUUUCCCCGAUUUAGUCCUUUAUUCUUAACAAUAUCAAAUAAAGUAUGAAAAUAUGAGUUUAUUUGAAGAUUUGCGUUACGAAUUUGAUGAAAUUUGUAUUAUAUUGAAGAAUAUAAUUAAUUUUAUGAGUUUUGAUUGAAUUUUUUUUUGAAUUUUUGUAUAAAAAAGGAUAACAUUGUUGAAAUUUUAAAACAUAAAAUAUCAAAUUGUCGCUUAAAAUUAAAAUAAGAGACCAAAUCGGGAAAAAAAAAGAUAAAUGACUAAAACGUUACUUAAAAUUAAGUUAAAGGACCACAAAUGUAAUUUAGCCUCAAUUUUUUUCUUUGAUAGCAACGUGUUCUUCAUUCUGUGUCGUAAUUUUGAUUCGUUUCUAUAUAUGAUUUUCCUUUAUUUUCUUCCCAAUAAAUAUAUUAUCUAAAUUCUACACUAUAAAAAAAAUUUGUAUACUUACGGAAAGUAGGUAAAUUAUUUAAUAUUUACGGAAAAACUGUGAGUAAAUUUGUUAUUGAAUAAAUUAAUUUUUUAAAUUAGAUUUCAUAGUUAGUCCGUAAAUAAAAUUAAAAAAAUAUGUGAAUAAAGUUUAAAAAAAUGCAAUUCAAAUUUAAGUUGUCGAAGUUUCUUCAUUUUUUUUUAUGAUUGAUUCUCCAUAGAUAAAUGAAGAGAAUUAAUAUAAGUUGUUUACGGAUUAUAUGUAGAUAAAGUAAAAAUAAAGUUUUAUUUAUUAUCAAUUUUUUUAAAAAAAAAAAAAAAAAACUUAUUAUUUUCCGUUGUUAAACAAAACUAAAUCGGACGUAUACCACAAACCUGCUUCAUACCUUGACUCUCAACUCUUCAAAGUUCCAUUUGCUUCAGCGGGUUCCUUUUGGUGGUGGAAGAUUUGGUUUCUUAGAUGUUGUGUUUUUUUUUUUUUUUGAAGAAGAAAAUAGCAAGAGAGCAAAAGCUAGAAGAACAAGCGGUAACAUGUUUUGGUUUAUGAAUUAGGAACAACUAUCUAG